UACGUAGGGGGCAAGCGUUGUCCGGAUUUAUUGGGCGUAAAGAGCGUGUAGGCGGUCAUGUAGGUCCGUUGUGAAAACUCGAGGCUCAACCUCGAGACGCCGAUGGAAACCAUGUGACUAGAGUCCGGAAGAGGAGAGUGGAAUUCCUGGUGUAGCGGUGAAAUGCGCAGAUAUCAGGAGGAAUACCGGUGGCGAAGGCGGCGUUCUGGACUGCAACUGACACUGAGGAACGAAAGCCAGGGGAGCAAACGGG
rnacentral:rRNA from 1 species